AUGAUUUCAAUCUCCAACAAGUUCACCACUUUUGAUCCAAUCAAUGUCUUUUAGACUCUGGGGCUGAAUCAUUCUAUUGUAAAAUGUUGAAGUUGGAAGGGAUUGUGGACCAGUUUACAGUUUCUCUCAAGGCUUGGAUUCUGCUCGGAAAAAGGAGUCUCCCUAACUCUAAUCAACUUUCAGGCGAUCAAGAGAGUUUGAUUAUAAGAACAAGCACAUGAGAGGCAGG